GCCGCGAUAGCUCAGCUGGGAGAGCGCUGCACUGAAGUUAUUACGCAAUGCAUAGGUCACCUGUUCAAUCCAGGUUCGUGGCA
rnacentral:tRNA from 1 species